rnacentral:tRNA from 2 species
GCCGAUGUAGCUCAGAUGGUAGAGCACUCGAUUCGUAAUCGAGUUGUCACGAGUUCGAUUCUCGUCAUCGGCU